UUUCUUUCUCUCUCUACAUAUACUAUUUUUCGUAGCCUCCAAGAACAAUGCUAAAAGUCUCCGAAUAAGGACUUUUAGCAAUAAAAUUCUGAAGUAUUUUAACAAUGUUUUCGGUAAUAUUUGUGGAUACUACUCGAACAGUUUCUUUUUUAUCAUGUCUGCGUUUCUUAUAGAGGUUAGUAAAUCAGCAAUAGUGUCCUUGCCCAUAAGACUCUAAUUCUAGGUUAUUCCUAAUUUUUCUAUAAUCAACAUGUUUUGUCUUUUCUUUAAAUUUAGGAUUUUAAAGCAUAUACGUGAGACAAAAUCAAGGCCGUUCCACUCACCUCCAACAACAGCUCGUGUAAACCUUCCUCAUCUUUUCGCCGUCCCGCAUCCAGGGCGAUUGCUCCCGCGAAUUUACGCGAGGGCAGGAGCCUUCGGUGAGAGAGGCCUGCUCGGUGCCGGAGGAGGCGGCGGCAGCGUCGACGCCAGGUUGUGGGAGAUGCCGUCUCCAACGUCUGGUGGUCCGGAUCUACAGGCGUAAUCUCGCCGCGACAACCAGAGGGUGCAAACCAGGACUCCGACGGUGGUGUGUACCUGCGAGGUGCGUCCCUGGGUCAAGGAGCAGCCCAGCCUCCGAUGUUAGGACGUGCUGGAGUCGAUUCGAAUCCACUUGGAGCUGCUUGUUAGUUGGAUGGCCAAAUAGAUUGGAUGGGCCUGUAAGAACAUCUUUUCUGUUAUGCUAUCAAAGGCAACAAAUAGAUGCUAAUAGCAGAUGCUGAAUGUUUGUUGCACCUCCCUUCCUCUGCCCGUGUGGUGCUGUAGACCCUCACUUUUCUGUUUUCUUGUCCACUAGCUCUAGGUUACUGCAUGUAGCUUUGCUUCUUGCUGCUUCUACAUCGUUUAUAGAGUAUUAAUAACUUGCUGCUUUUUAUCCCCUCUUCUAUUUCUACAACUCUCCUGGACUGAACUAGAUGGUUUACCAUUUACAUAAGGGCAGGCUCUCCUUUUCUGAAUGCCAAAACGUGAAAGAAACAAAAGCAUGGCAUGUUUAGUGGCAUCUACCCGUCUAGGCCCUGUUUGGGAACAAAGUUUUUGAAAACCACAGUUUUUGAAAUACUACAGUAUACUUUAGUCAUGACAAUACCGCAGUUUACAAUACCGCAGUUUUGAAAACUGAGGUCCAGACCUAAGUUUAGAAUAGCUUAAAACUACUAUAGUAUUUGCAAUACUUCAGUUUU